GACGAACGCUGGCGGCGUGCCUAAUACAUGCAAGUUGAGCGCUGAAGGUUGGUACUUGUACCAAUUGGAUGAGCAGCGAACGGGUGAGUAACGCGUGGGUAAUCUGCCUAUGAGCGGGGGACAACAUCUGGAAACGAAUGCUAAUACCGCAUAAAAACUUUAAACACAAGUUUUAAGUUUGAAAGAUGCAAUUGCAUUACUCAAAGAUGAUCUCGCGUUGUCUUAGCUAGUUGGUGAGGUAAAGGCCCACCAAGGCGAUGAUACAUAGCCGACCUGAGAGGGUGGUCCGCCAAAAUGGGACUGGAGCACGGCCCAAGCUCCUUCGGGAGGCAGCAGUAAGGGAUUUUCGGCAAAGGACGAAAGUCUGACCGGGCAACGCCGCGUGAGUGAAGGAGGGUUUCGGAUCGUAAAACUCUGUUGGUAGGGAAGGACGUUGGUGGGAAUGGAAAGCUCAUCAAGUGACGGUAACUACCCAGAAAGGGACGGCUAACUACGUG
rnacentral:rRNA from 1 species